rnacentral:sRNA from 1 species
CAUGGAUGUACAAGUGCUCAUUGUACCCAACUAUCCAUCGUCACUAUUCAUUCGGCCUUAUUCAUGAUUGUCCUUCUUCAAUCAGCUGACACAUUCUUCAAGAUCGCUGGCGCCAGUUUUGCAGACAAACGAUCGUACUCAUCAUGUAUGCUGAUGGGGAGGAAGGCCAGUAGACAAGAAUGGGACCUCAUCGCCCUACCUUCUCAAGUUUACCAUCGGAUAAAAAGAUGAAACCGAAAAGGACUUGAUAAGAUGGAUAUUAAGACUACUUCGACAAUGAUAUGCACAUGCAUGAAACAUGAUAAACCG